GCAUUAAUGGGGUAGUGGUAACCUGGGUCGUUGCCAUAGUACCCUACUGCUUACAUGCUCGACCCGCCGGGGGUUCGAUUCCCCCUUAAUGCA